CCUACGGGGGGCAGCAGUGGGGAAUUGUUCGCAAUGGGCGCAAGCCUGACGACGCAACGCCGCGUGGAGGAUGAAGAUCUUCGGGUCGUAAACUCCUGUCGAGCGGGAAGCGGUACCGCUAAAGGAAGCCCCGGCUAACUCCGUGCCAGCAGCCGCGGUAAUACGGGGGGGGCAAGCGUUGUUCGGAAUUACUGGGCGUAAAGGGCUCGUAGGCGGCCAACUAAGUCAGACGUGAAAUCCCCAGGCUCAACCUGGGAACUGCGUCUGAUACUGGAUGGCUUGAAUCCGGGAGAGGGAUGCAGAAUUCCAGGUGUAGCGGUGAAAUGCGUAGAUAUCUGGAGGAAUACCGGUGGCGAAGGCGGCAUCCUGGACCGGAUUGACGCUGAGGAGCGAAAGCUAGGGGAGCAAACGGGAUUAGAUACCCUUGUAGUC
rnacentral:rRNA from 1 species